GCCCGCUCAAGAAACUACAAAGGAAUUGGACGGGGCCCGCACAAGCGGUGGAGUAUGUGGUUUAAUUCGAUGCAACGCGAAGAACCUUACCUGGUCUUGACAUCCCGGAGACCCUUAGGAAACUAGGGGGUGCUUCCAUCUGGAAGAAUCUGGAGACAGGUGCUGCAUGGCUGUCGUCAGCUCGUGUCGUGAGAUGUUGGGUUAAGUCCCGCAACGAGCGCAACCCUUGCCUUUAGUUGCCAGCAGUUCGGCUGGGCACUCUAAAGGGACUGCCGGUGUUAAACCGGAGGAAGGUGGGGAUGACGUCAAGUCCUCAUGGCCUUUAUGACCAGGGCUACACACGUACUACAAUGGCCGAUACAAAGGGCAGCGACACUGCGAGGUGAAGCCAAUCCCGUAAAAUCGGUCUCAGUCCGGAUUGGAGUCUGCAACUCGACUCCAUGAAGUUGGAAUCGCUAGUAAUCGUGGAUCAGCAUGCCACGGUGAAUACGUUCCCGGGCCUU
rnacentral:rRNA from 1 species